UCUUGUUCAAUAAAUAAAUAAGGCUGGCGGGAGCUCGGCGCGGGCCUGGCACGCGGAGGGGCCGGGCUGUCGGAAAUGCCGGGACGCCAGGCAGAGCGGUAGGACCUGGGAACCGCGGCCUCCGGGAAAGACGGGGGCCGCGGGGGUGGACGUCCUACCCCUUCUGCCUGUGUCAGUCCAGGCCCCGGCGGCAAACAGAUGGCAUCUUCCAGAGGGACGGCGAGGGGACUUUGUGACGGGGCCAUGCACGCGGGAAGGGGAACGGACGUGGGCCGCGAGGCACCCUGAGAGGACCGAGCACCAGUGGUGAGCGGUUACCCCAGGGAGGCCCGAAAGGACUAGGAUUCGGAGCAGGUACCAGAACCCAGAAGGGGUGAGCUCUGGAGAGGCCGCCAGACAGCUACUGGGUUACCAGCCUCAAGUUCUGCCCUCCUGGGAGGCUUGGUGCACUUGGAUUUCCUCUGCAAAACCAGAUGGUUCUGACGCUUGCCCGUCCAGUCCCUACCUGGGCCUCCCACACGCCAUUCCCCGUCUUCCUUCUCAUACACCAGCAGGAAAAAUCCUCCCCGGGAGACUAUGGAAAUGAGGCUGAAAAGCCUUCUACAAAAUGCAAAGGACCUCAUGCUUCUAAGGAACUAAGAAAAUAUGUUUAUCUUUUCAUCUAUCUAUGCCUUGUCACCUUGAACAGGUUCUAAACUCUUUGAGGGUAGAAAAUAAAGGCAGGAAACUAAUGUUUAUUGAACACUGUGGGAGACACUGAGUUCUCCCCGGUACCUGGUUCACUUUUCCUCCCCAAACAUACAGAAAACUGUAUAUCCCAAUGUCCUUGUUGUUAGAUGAAGCCAUGUAAGUAGUUCUGUGCAAUUAAUUGAGGGCAAAAGGGCUCUUCCCAAUUCCUUAGCUAAACUCUUCCCCUGCCACAGUGAACAUGGGGGCUUCUUGCUGAAAUGGGGGAACCAGAAUUUGAUCUUCUGGAUCACGUAUCACACGCAUGGGGGAAAGCUGCCCUGGGGAGUGGCCUAGGUCUACAGCAAACCUUUAAGAGUGAAAAAUAAACUCAGUCUGUUGAGCAUCCAA